rnacentral:tRNA from 3 species
GUAGAUAUAGUUUAACUUAAAACAUUAGAUUGUGGUUCUAAAAACAGAGGUUAAACCCCUCUUAUCCACC